rnacentral:tRNA from 1 species
GUCGCCAUCGUCUAGUCUGGCCAAGGACACUGGUCUUUCAAGCCGGCAACACGGGUUCAAAUCCCGUUGGCGACG